GACGAACGCUGGCGGCGUGCUUAACACAUGCAAGUCGAACGGAAAGGCCCCUUUGGGGGUACUCGAGUGGCGAACGGGUGAGUAACACGUGAGUAACCUGCCCUUGACUUCGGGAUAACUUCAGGAAACUGGGGCUAAUACCGGAUAGGAAUCCUUGCUGCAUGGUGGGGGUUGGAAAGCUUCGGCGGUUUUGGAUGGACUCGCGGCUUAUCAGCUUGUUGGUGGGGUAGUGGCUUACCAAGGCUUUGACGGGUAGCCGGCCUGAGAGGGCGACCGGCCACAUUGGGACUGAGAGACGGCCCAGACUCCGACGGGAGGCAGCAGUGGGGAAUAUUGCACAAGGGGCGGAAGCCUGAUGCAGCAACGCCGCGGGCGGGAUGACGGCCUUCGGUUUGUAAACCGCUUUCAGCAGGGGCGAAGCUUGUGGUGACGGUACCUGCAGAAGAAGCACCGGCUAACUACGUG
rnacentral:rRNA from 1 species